rnacentral:lncRNA from 1 species
AAAAGUUAAAUUUUUUUGGCCCUGUUGAUUAGAAUAUUUAGCUUGUAUAAAUUGCUAUUAGUCUAAUACUAAUAAUAUAUUAUACAUUAUGAUUUUUUUAGGACGUUUUAACUUUUCAUUGACCCUACAAUUAAAAUUAGACUCUAAUAAAAUUUUAUUUGAGUAAAAUCAUGUUUCAUGAUAAGAGCAAGACCUCUUAAUAUUAUUUUCUUUUUCUAUAAAAUUUGAAGGUAGGUGUAAAUGUAAUAGCCAAUUUUGGCCUAAAAGAACCCAAACCAAAUAAACAAAAAAUAGUCCAAUACAUGACCCAAAAUUAAAACAAAACCUAAUUAAAACCCAAUACCCAGAUUUUAGCCCAAAAUAAACUCAAUAACCUAAAACCCUAAAGCCCAAGUCAGCCCACUAUCUUAAACUUUUUUUCAGCAGCCACCCUAACCCUAGCCACCAAAGUUCAGCCGCCACUCCCCCCUCUGCCCUUGGCCAUCACGCGCGCCACCACCACCGCUUGGGGCACCAACCAUCGGCCUUCCACGCGUCUGACACCUGCAAAACAAAACUAGCACGCGAAACACAAGAAACGAAGAAGAAAAAAUAGCAGACAAGAAGAAAAAAACAAAAAAACGAAUCUAUGUAAUUCGGUUAUAAAAGUCGAAACAUCCAUUUGUAGUUUUUUUUGGACACGAACAUUUAGCAAUAAAAAUCAAGAGCAAAACAGAUAAAAAAGGGUGAUUUCCGAAUUAUUCUCUUUGUUUUCAUUUCAUUGCUAAUCUCUUUUAGUUUCUUUUUAUAUUUACUUGCAAAUCUAUUAAAUAAAGUGGGCACGAAAAUAAAUAAAAGGAGGGAGUAGAGGGCCUCACUGGAAUCGCUCAGGGCUUCGUCGCUGGAGAUCCCUCCUCCGUCGUCGGGGUCGCGUCGUUUAGAGAGGGAGAGACCCUUUCAUUUCCGCAUUGUUUGGCUGAAAACUCGGCCUUCAAAGGGUCCCAAAAACGGGGUUGAAAUACCUAUUGUUGCGCGUCACCGGCCACCGAAAACGGUGGUGGUACGGUGGGCGGUGAGGGAGCCCGAUCGUUGGAAAGACAAAAGGGGGAGAGGGUGUUUUGUUUUUUCCUUGGAAAACAAAAGAGAACGGCAGAUCAAAAAGAGUGAAUGAAAUUUGACCCUUGAAAUGACGUCGUUUGGGGGUGGGGUCUGUGCACUUUCCCUAAAAGGGAAAUUUGUGCGUUUACUCCUCCUCUCUCGCAACCUCGUUCAAUUAACCCCCAUUUUCUAUCUUCUUUUGUUUUUUUAAAUUUGACCCUCAGAUCUUGUUUGGUUUUCGUUUUGAUCCCUAAUUAACUAUCCAAUAUUUAUACUUUUAUACCCGAAUUUUAAUUUGUUUUUAGCCAUGUCCUAAAUCUAUUUAAUUCAUUUAUUAACUCUCUUUUUUUGUUUCAUUUAUAUGUUAUUUCAAAUAUUUUAUAUGUUGUUUAUUUAUAUCUAUUCUAACUUAUUUUAAUGUACUAUUUAUUCAAAUUCAUAUUAUUUAUUUUAACUUACUUUAUGUAUAUAUGCCACUUUAAUCUAUUUUAUAUGUAUUAUUUAUU